UACGUAGGGGGCAAGCGUUUUCCGGAAUUAUUGGGCGUAAAGAGCGUGUAGGCGGCCAGAUAAGUCCGCUGUGAAAUCUCGAGGCUCAACUUCGAGCUGUCGGUGGAAACUAUCUGGCUAGAGUCCGGAAGAGGAGAAUGGAAUUCCUGGUGUAGCGGUGAAAUGCGCAGAUAUCAGGAAGAACACCCGUGGCGAAGGCGGUUCUCUGGGACGGUACUGACGCUGAGACGCGAAAGCGUGGGGAGCGAACAGG
rnacentral:rRNA from 1 species